rnacentral:lncRNA from 1 species
UUUAAAAAAGUUUUAAUUAGUUUUCCCCAAAAAUUGCUUCAUUUUUUGGUUAUAUCAUGUUGAAAUAUUCCAUUCGGAAUUUGGCGAAUAUGAACCUAUUUUUCAUUAGUUACAACUCUUCUUUUACUGGAUCUAGCGAUCUUAUGCAUACACUACUUUUGCAUAAACGAUUUUUUUCGGUAAAAUGCUUCCUUUUGGAGUUAUUUGCAAAAAGUAUUCGAAAAGCAUUAACUUGUGAGCGAAGCGAAAAGUGAAAAAAGGCUAUAAAACAAAAUUUGAUUAGAAUUAGUUUGUUUAUCCAUUUCCGGACUUAUUUUGAACAUAUAUUUUUUCAACCCCGAGAAGGGGUGAAACUAAGCUCCAGGGCAAAAGCACACAUCGGCACAAUAUCACUUUUCUUCUUUGACACGUUACCUAUGUGUUUACCAAAUUUCAUGUCAAUCUAAGCGGUUCUUUAAAAUUAAUAGGUUUUGCAAUAUUUUACCGUCAAAGAACGUACUAAUAUUGUCCGGAGUCUCUUAAAGUCGUGAGUUGAGAUCUUCCUACGUAAUAAUACACAUAGUUUAAAAAGUUAUGCAUCACCUAUAAUUAUGAUUUUUCUUUGGUAUCUUCUUUUUCGAAUAAGGUGGAAAGAUUCCUAACUCCACUAGGGAAGGUGUCCCUAGUACUAAUUGAAUUCCAUCAAAUCAGAGACGUACGCCAACGGCAUGGUGUCAAACUAAGUGACAGAGGGCGCCCUUCGGAAAUCCCUGCCAGGUCGCCUACCAACUAGAACCACCCCCUAUUCGACCAGAGGUAUCCCUGGACUGAGUUUAUUUUUGCACGAAACAUGGGAAUACCCAGAGCAGACAGGAUUAAAGGUGCCCUUAGAGGUGGUAAUUAUGUUACCUACAGCACUUACCUAAAAGCGGUGAGCGUGUACCUAAAAGCGGUGAGGAAUUUGGGAACAUGGAAGAAAAAGGUUGCCCUAAAGGGUAACCUGAUACAUUUUUAUAUGAUGAAAGAAGAAGAAAGAAAGAAAAAUGUUUUUUUAUUUGUUAUUUUUAUAUUUAACCCCUAUGAAGGAGGUAGACUUCUUCACCCAGCCUGCUCUUUACAUUAUAGUCUUCCUUCUCAUGAUGCUUGUUAUAUGGUCGAUUAUAUACUCGAAAUUCUCUUUAUUGUCAUUAUAAUCUGCAUGAUGUUGUUGGGCGUGAUAGCGCCAAACCUAUUCUGCAGCCUUUGUUGUUCUACAAAGAAGUAGGGAUGGCGGUUUUUGACAAAACACCGGUUUUCGGUUAUACCGGUUUUUUUGCUUACGGUUUAACCUGGCGGUUAUAACCGGCCAAAAAAAA